GGAUGUCCAUUUAUGGUUCAAUUUGGUUAUUUAGAUGGAGGUGUCUAAGAUAAGUUUUCAAGAUUAAAAAUAAUCAAAAAAGGUAAAAAGAUAGAAAGACAGUCAAAUACCUCAAAUGAGAUGUUUAGGAACAUUAGGAGAAACUCCAUUAACCAAGUGUCACUUUCAUAUUGGUUAAUUAAAAAUAAAUAAAAUUUAAUUGCUUAAAUCAACUGCAGUUUUAACCGAUAAAAGGGUGCUCUUAGGUUUG
rnacentral:lncRNA from 1 species